GAUGAAGAAGUAGCGAAAUGCGAUACUUGGUGUGAAUUGCAGAAUCCCGCGAAUCAUCGAGUUUUUGAACGCAAGUUGCGCCCGAAGCCAUUCGGCCGAGGGCACGUCUGCCUGGGUGUCACGCAUCGUUGCCCCCCCAAACUCCGGUUCGGGCGGGGCGGAAGUUGGCCUCCCGUGCGUGCCUGCGCGCGCGGUUAGCCCAAAAGCGAGUCCUCGGCGACGAGCGCCACGACAAUCGGUGGUUUUUUUACCCUCGUUCCUCGUCGUGCGUGUCCCGUCGCCCGAACGCGCUCUUGUGACCCUCACGCGUCGCCUCGGCGGCGCUCCCAACGCGACCCCAGGUCAGGCGGGACUACCCGCUGAGUUUAAGCAUAUCAAUAAGCGGAGGA
rnacentral:misc_RNA from 1 species